rnacentral:rRNA from 1 species
UACGGGGGGGGGCAAGCGUUGUUCGGAAUUACUGGGCGUAAAGGGUUCGUAGGUGGCUCGCUAAGUCACACGUGAAAUCCCUCAGCUUAACUGGGGAACUGCGUGUGAGACUGGCAAGCUCGAGUGCAGGAGAGGAAUGCGGAAUUCCAGGUGUAGCGGUGAAAUGCGUAGAUAUCGGGAGGAACACCUGUGGCGAAAGCGGCGCACUGGACCACAACUGACGCUGAGGCGCGAAAGCUAGGGGAGCAAACAGG